rnacentral:rRNA from 1 species
CACACCGCCCGUCACACCAUGGGAGUGAAUUGCACCAGAAGUAGUUAGCUUAACCGAAAGGAGGGCGAUUACCACGGUGUGCCUCAUGACUGGGGUG